rfam:Loxodonta africana unplaced genomic scaffold scaffold_143, whole genome shotgun sequence.
GACGAGGUGGCCGAGUGGUUAAGGCGAUGGACUGCUAAUCCAUUGUGCAUUGCAUACGUGGGUUCGAAUCCCACCCUCAUCG